rnacentral:rRNA from 1 species
UGGGGAAUAUUGGACAAUGGGCGGAAGCCUGAUCCAGCCAUGCCGCGUGUGUGAAGAAGGCCUUUUGGUUGUAAAGCACUUUAAGCGAGGAGGAGGCUACUAGUACUAAUACUACUGGAUAGUGGACGUUACUCGCAGAAUAAGCACCGGCUAACUCUGUGCCAGCAGCCGCGGUAAUACAGAGGGUGCGAGCGUUAAUCGGAUUUACUGGGCGUAAAGCGUGCGUAGGCGGCUUUUUAAGUCGGAUGUGAAAUCCCCGAGCUUAACUUGGGAAUUGCAUUCGAUACUGGGAAGCUAGAGUAUGGGAGAGGAUGGUAGAAUUCCAGGUGUAGCGGUGAAAUGCGUAGAGAUCUGGAGGAAUACCGAUGGCGAAGGCAGCCAUCUGGCCUAAUACUGACGCUGAGGUACGAAAGCAUGGGGAGCAAACAGGAUUAGAUACCCUGGUAGUCCAUGCCGUAAACGAUGUCUACUAGCCGUUGGGGCCUUUGAGGCUUUAGUGGCGCAGCUAACGCGAUAAGUAGACCGCCUGGGGAGUACGGUCGCAAGACUA